AGUGAACGCUGGCGGUAGGCCUAACACAUGCAAGUCGAACGGCAGCACAGUAAGAGCUUGCUCUUACGGGUGGCGAGUGGCGGACGGGUGAGGAAUACAUCGGAAUCUACUUUUUCGUGGGGGAUAACGUAGGGAAACUUACGCUAAUACCGCAUACGACCUACGGGUGAAAGCAGGGGAUCUUCGGACCUUGCGCGAUUGAAUGAGCCGAUGUCGGAUUGGCUGGUUGGCGGGGUAAAGGCCCACCAAGGCGACGAUCCGUAGCUGGUCUGAGAGGAUGAUCAGCCACACUGGAACUGAGACACGGUCCAGACUCCUACGGGAGGCAGCAGUGGGGAAUAUUGGACAAUGGGCGCAAGCCUGAUCCAGCCAUACCGCGUGGGUGAAGAAGGCCUUCGGGUUGUAAAGCCCUUUUGUUGGGAAAGAAAAGCAGCAGGUUAAUACCCCGCUGUUCUGACGGUACCCAAAGAAUAAGCACCGGCUAACUUCGUG
rnacentral:rRNA from 1 species